CUGUGCCAUCUGUGCCGCGCGCGCCUCCAUCUCCAACAGCUGCGCGCGCACCCCGUCCUCGCGCCCGUGGUAGAGCGAGGCCAGUUCCGCCCGCUGCCAGUGGAUCUGCGCUAGGUCCACGCGGUUCUGCUCGUCCAGCCGGACGAUGGCUUUGGCGCAGCGCUGGGCGCGCGCGCUCACGUAGCUGGCGUAGAGCCGGUUCUCCUCGCGCAGGCGCAGCGCCUCGCGGUCCAGGAAGGCGUUCUCUCGCAGCACCUGGUCAACGCUCUCCUCGCAGGUGUCCAGCUGCUCCGAGAGCAGCGCGUGUUCGCGUUGCAGGUCCUGCACACCCAUGAAGCGACUGACCCAGCUGGUCUGAAGCACCCCACGAGGAGGUACCUCAGAACCCAGGCCAGAUCCACACAAGGCUCUCGGUCAGUCCCAGAUGGAAGCUCCAGUCCCAGGCCGUGACAUGCAUCAGCUCCCACACCCAGGAUUGUCCCAGAGAAAGCGCUCUGCCCUCCCCGUCCACAGCACCACGAGGGCCAUAACUGCACUGCCACACCUCUCCAGUUCCAGAGACAUCCCUGAGAGGCAGCCAUCAGGGGUGCCCAGCUGAGGACACGCCUCCUUGGGGACCCUCAUUCCUGAGUCCAUGCCUCCAGAUUCACGAUCUCAGAGACAACCACAUCCGCAACUGGCACGUGUCCCCACCGAAGGGGCUCAAGUAAGUGACUGGAGUGACCAGGGUGGAUGGGCCUGGAGUACCUGGGUCUAUAGCCCACGCCCGGAGCAGGAAAUGGGGGAGACCUGGGGUACCUGGGUCUGUAGCCCACACCCAGAGCAGGAAAUAGGGGAGACCUGGGGUACCUGAGUCUGUAGCCCACAUCCAGAGCAGGAGAGAGGGGAGACCUGGAGUACCUGUACCUGUACCUCAGCUACAGUAUCUGAGUCUGUAGCCCACAUCUGAAGCAGGAGAGAGGAGAGGGCCAUUUUGGAGUCCACCAGGUAGCCCCAGUAGGACAGGGAGAGGCUGUGUAUGAGAUGGGAUGGGUGGUGGGCCAUGGCUGUGACACUGGAGGGGACAGGGCGGGGAUACCUUCUCAGACUAUGACACUCAGAGGCAAGGUAGGAUCUCGGCCCACACAACAGCACACGGAUGGUGCCCUUAUGGGAGAGAGCGGGGCCAUGCAUGGGGCCUGUGACAGCUUGGGAGGUGGGGGCCAGGGGAGUUUGGUUUCCUGGGUUACGGAAUGCUGGGUGUGUGUGAAGUAGGAGGCACCAGCCACACUGUUUCACCAGGGGCUGUGAUCUGGGCCCCACCCUUGUGACUCUGGGGCUUCUGGAUGAUGACCUCUCCCCAGACCUCACCCAUGAUUUCCCCGUGGAUUGGUUAAAAAUUCAAUGCAAGGUCCAGGUCAAUAAUGCACCCAAAAUAAAGCUGAAAGUUACAACCGCAUGCAACAAAACUUAUUGUGACUUAGCCCCGGCGCAGUGGCUCACGCCUGUAAUCCCAGCACUUUGGGAGGCCGAGGCAGGUGGAUCACAUGAGGUCAGGAGUUCGAGACCAGCCUGGCCAACAUGGUGAAACCCCGUCUCUACUGAAAAUACAAAAAUUAGCAGGAUGUGAUGGCAGGCGCUUGUAAUCUCAGCUACUCAGGAGGCUGAGGCAGGAGAAUCACUUGAACCCAGGAGGCAGAGGUUGCAGUGAGCUGAGAUUGUAUCACUGCACUCCAGCCUGGGUG
rnacentral:lncRNA from 1 species